UACGAGGGGGGCAAGCGUUGUUCGGAAUUAUUGGGCGUAAAGGGUGCGUAGGCGGUUUUGUAAGUCUUGUGUGAAAUCUUCAGGCUCAACUUGAAGACUGCACGAGAAACUGCAGGGCUUGAGUGUGGGAGAGGUGAGUGGAAUUCCUGGUGUAGCGGUGAAAUGCGUAGAUAUCAGGAGGAACACCUGUGGCGAAAGCGGCUCACUGGACAUCAACUGACGCUGAUGCACGAAAGCUAGGGGAGCAAACAGG
rnacentral:rRNA from 1 species